rnacentral:rRNA from 1 species
GAGCACGUAGGUGGGUUUGUAAGUCAGAUGUGAAAGCCUUCUGUUCAACGGGAGAAUUGCAUCUGAAACUACAGACCUUGAGUAUAGGAGGGGAGAGUGGAACUUCUGGUGGAGCGGUGAAAUGCGUAGAUAUCAGAAGGAACGCCGGCGGCGAAAGCGAUUCUCUGGCCUAUUACUGACACUCAGUGUGCGAAAGCAAGGGGAGCAAACGGGAUUAGAUACCCCGGUAGUCCUAGCCGUAAACGAUGGGCACUAAGUAGAGGGG